rnacentral:rRNA from 1 species
GAUGAACGCUGGCGGCGUGCCUAAUACAUGCGAGUCGAGCGAACGGACGAGAAGCUUGCUUCUCUGAUGUUAGCGGCGGACGGGUGAGUAACACGUGGAUAACCUACCUAUAAGACUGGGAUAACUUCGGGAAACCGGAGCUAAUACCGGAUAAUAUUUUGAACCGCAUGGUUCAAAAGUGAAAGACGGUCUUGCUGUCACUUAUAGAUGGAUCCGCGCUGCAUUAGCUAGUUGGUAAGGUAACGGCUUACCAAGGCAACGAUGCAUAGCCGACCUGAGAGGGUGAUCGGCCACACUGGAACUGAGACACGGUCCAGACUCCUACGGGAGGCAGCAGUAGGGAAUCUUCCGCAAUGGGCGAAAGCCUGACGGAGCAACGCCGGGUGAGUGAUGAAGGUCUUCGGAUCGUAAAACUCUGUUAUUAGGGAAGAACAUAUGUGUAAGUAACUGUGCACAUCUUGACGGUACCUAAUCAGAAAGCCACGGCUAACUACGUG